CCAAUAGCGUAUAUUAAAGUUGUUGCAGUUAAAAAGCUCGUAGUUGGAUUUCUGGUUGAAGCGACCGGUCGGGCGUUGAUUCGUCUGCACUGGAGUCGGUUUUGGCCAUCCUCUAGGAAAGUGCGUCUGGUAUUAAGUUAUCGGGCGUAUGAUCCUGGUCUUUUACUGUGAAAAAAUUAGAGUGUUUAAAGCAGGCCUUCGCCUUGAAUACAUUAGCAUGGAAUAAUAAGAUAGGACUUUGGUCUAUUUUGUUGGUUUGCAGACCGAAGUAAUGAUUAAUAGGGAUAGUUGGGGGUAUUUAUAUUCCGAUGUCAGAGGUGAAAUUCUUAGAUUUUCGGAAGAUAAACUUAUGCGAAAGCAUUUACCAAGGAUGUUUUCAUUAA
rnacentral:rRNA from 1 species